CAAGCUCACGGCAGCGACGGAGACGACUGUUCCGUCUCCGGCUUCGACUCCGCCGAGAAAGUCAUCAUGAAAUGGGACGCCACGGCGUCGGAAGAAGCCAGAGAGAAGAUGAUCUUCACCGAUCCGCAGGAAGUGAAGCUUUACCUCCACGCCGUCGACGAAAUCCAACGGCACGUUUCCUCCCCCGGCGAGCUCGAGUCCCGAGCCAGCUCAGCGAUCCAGAUCGCCAUGGCUCGCCUCGAGGACGAGUUCCGCAACAUCCUCGUCUCGCACAGCUCUCCCAUCAACUCGGACUCUCUAAUGUCCUCUUCCUCCUCUUCUUCUCACCUUGAGGUUGACGAAGACGCGAGUAACAACAACAACGAAGAAGAUGAUCAAGAAGAGGAAACGGAUCUUCUCAAACGAACCGGGUCUAGCUCCAGCUCCGGUUCAGCCACGGUCCGGUUACCAACCGGACGUGGAAGCUACAGUAGAUCCACCAGCAGCAUACGCGAGAUCGAGCUGAUCCCUAUCGACGCGGUGGUGUACCUGAGCUGGAUCGCUCGGCGUAUGGUCUCCGCCGGGUACCUCCGGGAGUGCAUUCAAGUCUACGGCAGCGUGCGCAAAUCCGCCGUGGACUCCUCCUUCCGGCGGCUAGGGAUCGAGAAGCUGAGCAUCGGAGACGUGCAGAGGCUCAACUGGGAGGCGCUCGAGCAGAAGAUCCGCCGCUGGAUCCGCGCGGCGAAGGUCUGCGUGAGAGUUGUCUUCGCGAGCGAGAAGCUUCUCUGCGAGCACGUGUUCGAGAGCGUCGGGGCUGUUAACAUCCACGAGGCUUGCUUCAUGGAGACGGUCAAAGGUCCGGCGAUCCAGCUGUUCAACUUCGCCGAGGCGAUAAGCAUUAGCCGGAGAUCGCCGGAGAAGUUGUUCAAGAUCCUUGAUCUCCACGACGCGUUGAUCGAGCUUUUGCCGGAUAUAGAGUCGGUGUUCGAUCUGAAGUCUUCGGACUCGAUUAGGGUUCAGGCGGCGGAGAUACUCUCGAGGUUGGCGGAAGCUGCGAGAGGGAUACUGUCGGAAUUCGAAAACGCUGUCUUGCGUGAGCCGUCGAGGGUUCCUGUCCCUGGAGGGACUAUACAUCCGUUGACUAGGUAUGUGAUGAACUACAUUAGUUUGAUCUCUGAGUACAGACCAACGUUAGUUGAUCUCAUCAUGUCUAAACCGUCGAGGAACGCUACGGAUACAAACGCGCCGGAGAUGGACUUCUCCGAGGUUGAGAACAAAGGUCCGUUAGCUCUCCAUCUGAUCUGGAUCAUACUGAUCCUUCAGUUCAAUCUCGAAGGGAAGUCUAAGUACUACAGAGAUGCGGCAUUGUCGCAUCUCUUUGUUAUGAACAAUGUGCACUACAUUGUCCAGAAGAUCAAAGGGUCGACAGAGCUAAAGGAAAUGAUUGGAGAUCUUUACUUGAGGAAGCUAACGGGUAAGUUCAGGCAAGCCGCUACGUAUUACCAAAGAGCCGCUUGGGUCAAAGUGUUGUAUUGCUUGAGAGAUGAAGGGUUAAGGACAAAGGGAAGCUUUGCAUCAGGUGUAUCCAGGAGCGCGUUGAGAGAGAGGUUUAAGUCUUUCAAUGCUCUGUUUGAGGAAGUUCAUAGGGUUCAGUCACAAUGGUUGGUUCCGGAUUCUCAGCUUAGGGAAGAGCUGAAGAUAUCGAUAUUGGAGAAGCUUAGUCCGGCUUACAGAUCGUUUCUUGGACGGUUCAGGAGCCAUAUAGAGAGCGGGAAGCACCCGGAGAAUUACAUCAAGAUCACAGUUGAAGAGCUGGAGACCGAGGUUCUUGACUUGUUCGAGGGGCUAACUGCAACUCAGCAGCAUCAGAGAAGACGAUCAGAAUGAAGAGAUAAGUGCUCUUUCUUUCUACUCUUCAUAGAGCUUUACAAAAAAAUAGAUUCUUUGAAUUUUUUUUCGCAAUUUCGGGUUCUUUGCGUGAGAGCCAAAAUUCAAAGCCAAGAAAGGACUGAUUCAACCUUUGAUUUUAAUUUUUCAGAUUCAUGAGUUUGUAAUGUUGUAUGAACUUAUAAUACAUCUGUCUGGUUACUUGCCAAAUUCUUAGCUCACAUCUUUAUUUGUUCAUAUGAUGAAACUUUGUUGUGUCAAUGUCAUAUAUCCCUUUGUAUGCUUAUUUGCUAUUGUUGUUUGUUAGUUUUGGUUUUAUCCAUAAUCCAUUCUUGUCUUUCAUGGACCAAAACAUAUGUUACAAGACAAAACCUAGCUCAGGUGUAAAAUGCAAUUUAGGUCAACAUUACAUUAAGACGAAAACAUGGCAACACAACUAACUUAGUUUAACUAACACUACAAUACAGGCUGCUGUGGUCAAACUAAACUAAACCCCCGUGACCUAUUAGAAUACAUAUAGUAAAAUAUUAGGUGUUCAUUAAAAGUAAAGGUGUAAGUAGAACUGUAGAAGAAGAUCGAAUGUGACUACUAUCCCACUACUUUACUCCCUUUUCUCUUCCUCCAAAUCUUUGUCUGAUUCUUCUUCGUCAGCUUGUAAAGAUCUUGUUUGAGAUGUUCUUGACUUCUUGAGACUUCUUGAGAAGGAAUCCGAGAUGGUUUAAUGAGGGUUAGUGUGUAAUCAUCCUCCUCAAACUCCCCACUUGGAUCACCAGAAGAUCCAGAGAACGCGUACCUACAAGAUGAUAAUGACGGUACAAACUCAUAGACGCCUUGCUAUUUGCUUAAUCUUCUUGGAUAUGGUGUUACCUAGUUAAGUUUUGGGAUGGAGCCCAGAGAGAACAUUAUAAUACCUAAGAGCUAGAAGGAGAGAAGUUGCCAAAAGGCUGGGAUGAUCCAAGCGUUCUUCCAGAUGGUCUUCCCUUCAACAACCAAAUUCUUGAGGUCAGGAUCACAAUGAAUGAAGCAGAGGUUGUACAUUCCUCUCUUGUUAUUGUUUCUUCUCUUGAGGGAAACUCGCCGUCUUCACAUUAGCACACACAUACACACAAAUCACAAUUGCGAUUUUAUUAUAAUCACAGAAAGUCACAAAUAACGAUUCAGUAAUAAAUCUAAUACUAGUUCUAUUGUGCGGUUCCAAAAAUAUAAGAACUGUUCGAAUAUUUAUGAAUAUCAGCUUGAUUUCUAUUCGGUUUGGGGUCUAAAUGCUCAGGGUUAGUCUCAAGUUACAAACGUGCAUGCUGUAAACUUUGGUAUUAGAGACACACACCUUAGCACACGCACAAAAAACGUCAUUAGCGAUUUAACUAUCAAAGAAAUUCACAAAUUUACGUUCAAUACCAUGUUUUGUCGUCCAAUAAUAUGCCUAUAUCACGUGUUUGUGUAUACAUACGUACGUGACGCAAAUAUUGAAAUUGUAUGACAGCUAAGCACAGCUGGAGAUUAACGGAUCGUGAAAUUAUUAUCGGUUUUUCUUCUUCUCCUUCUUCUUCCCCCUAUGAAUAAUUUAAUUAUUGCCAGGAUUUAUAGACAACAAAAUACCCAUCCCUGCAUUUGAUUAUUAAUUACUCAUACUCUAGCUACGAACAAAAAAAUAAUAUGAGCACGAAUAAAUUAUACUAUUGGGUUACUAUAAUUAUUUUAUUAAAUUCUAAUAGGUUAGAUGCAAAUCAUGCAAUACUAUAAUAAGUUAAGUGGCACUAACUAUAAAUCUAUGCACAUUGAACCGGGACAAAUACUUCUGGAUUUAGUGAAUAUCCAAACAUCAAAUCAAAAUGUACACUAUUGUCUAGAGUUAUAUAAUCGACACAUCUAAUGACAUUUGCUUACCCAAUAAAUGUUUUGCAUAAAGUGAGCUGUUCACAUUCAUAUUAAUGACAUACGAGAGGCUUUUAAAUUAAGGAAAAUUGCAUUUUAUUGAAAUCGUCAUCGGUUUGUACUCGUAUUUGUUUUUAAAACUAAAAUCUAGAUUAAAAAAGACUCCAGUAAUUCUCUCACUGGCUCAAUCCAGCACAGCACCACUCGUGCAACAUUAUUAUAUUUUCUUUGUAUUAUUGACUUCAUGUUUCUCGACUGUCCCAUAUCAAUAACUAAUGAUAAUUGAUAAUGUUUCCCCACGGUAAUUUAAGGAAACUAAAUAAUUCAGUCCUCUUUGUUGUAUUUACCAGAAAUUACAGUUACUGUAUGACUCAUCAACAUUAAAAGAAAGAAAGCAUAGAAUUAGAAAUGAUAAUUGUAUGUAUAAAUUUUAUAUCCACGGUGGAUAGUCCACCUAAUUAAUAUAAUGAUUAACGUUACAACCUAUAAGAAGAAAAAGAAGAGUUGGGCUUUUUCUUUUGUUGUCUUGAGUUAUAAUUUGUUUUAUCAUCGUGAAUCUUUUUAAAAGCCAUAAUGCGUGGGAAAUCGGGUGCAAGCACGUGAAUGUCGGCCCAUUGUUGCAGUCGAAUAGUUGACUUAAUUCACAUGAUUCUGAUUAUUAAAAAAACAUAUUUCUUUCUGUUUAACCAGAUUAAAAAACUAUAGUAGAACUUGCAUUAUUUUAAUUUGAAAAAGGACUUAUAUGAUAAAUAGUGAAUCGUCCUGGGAGUUUUAUUCUGAUCCGAAACCUCAAACCAAAACUUAAACAUUGAAUUUAAACCGGACCAAAACUUAUCUAUAUGAAUCUAAAAUCUCUAUGUCCAAAAAGUAUAAAAACCGAUUCAAACUCAAAUGAAAAAUUGAAUGUCCAUGCAUGUUUAAACCUUUAAAUUUCUAUGUAUUUAUAAUCAAAAUAUUAGUUCAUUUAAAAAUUUGUGAUAUUUUAGAUAGUAUAAAACUUUAAUGUCUAAUUUUAAAUUUAUAUAAUAUAUCAUUUUAGUUAUUUCUGAUUUAUUUAUAUUUUAUAUAUUUUCGAGUAAAUUCAGUGUUGCUAAAAAUAAAAUAAAAAGAUUGAAUUGAAGAAUGCCCAUUAUUUAGAAAUUUACAUGUAUAAAAUAUUAGAACCAAAUUGACACAAAAUUGAUUAGGAGGACCGAUCUACAAUAUGCAAGUCUUAAUAACUAUUCUAUAAAAAAAAAACUAAAUCUAGUAAGAAUCUACCCAACUCAAACCCGAAUGUCGAGACCUAAUAGUGAGUGUCAAGUUUAACAUUUUAAAGUUUUAACUUACAAAAAUGUGGGGGUAUAUCGAUCAAAGUGUUUCCAUCAACUUUAAAAAGGCGCCUCGCAUGACGGUUAAGAGCUGUUAAAAAGCAUACAAGUUAAAACCCGGAUGUGUUCUGCAUUAAUUAAUAACCAAAAAGCAUCUUUCAAGUUCGACUGUUUGCUCUCUCUCUCUCUCUCUCCACUUUUUGUUUGUAUUCUCGUAUGAAACCAUGGAACCCCAGGAGCAAGCUCACGGCAGCGACGGAGACGACUGUUCCGUCUCCGGCUUCGACUCCGCCGAGAAAGUCAUCAUGAAAUGGGACGCCACGGCGUCGGAAGAAGCCAGAGAGAAGAUGAUCUUCACCGAUCCGCAGGAAGUGAAGCUUUACCUCCACGCCGUCGACGAAAUCCAACGGCACGUUUCCUCCCCCGGCGAGCUCGAGUCCCGAGCCAGCUCAGCGAUCCAGAUCGCCAUGGCUCGCCUCGAGGACGAGUUCCGCAACAUCCUCGUCUCGCACAGCUCUCCC
rnacentral:lncRNA from 1 species